rnacentral:rRNA from 1 species
GACGAACCGAGCGAACGUUGUUCGGAAUCACUGGGCUUAAAGGGUGCGUAGGCGGCUUGUUAAGUCAGGGGUGAAAGUUUUCGGCCCAACCGGAAAAUUGCCUUUGAUACUGGCGAGCUCGAGUGCGUGAGGGGUAACCGGAACGAGCAGUGUAGCGGUGAAAUGCGUAGAUAUUGCUCGGAAGGCCAACGGCGAAGGCAGGUUACUGGUACGCAACUGACGCUGAGGCACGAAAGCGUGGGGAGCAAACAGG